GUUGUUUCCAAGAGAAGUGACCUCCGAAGCUAACGCAUUAAGUCGACCGCCUGGGGAGUACGGCCGCAAGGCUAAAACUCAAAUGAAUUGACGGGGGCCCGCACAAGCGGUGGAGCAUGUGGUUUAAUUCGAUGCAACGCGAAAAACCUUACCUGGUCUUGACAUCCAUAAAAUUUUUUAGAAAUAAAAAAGUGCCUUCGGGAAUUAUGAGACAGGUGCUGCAUGGCUGUCGUCAGCUCGUGUUGUGAAAUGUUGGGUUAAGUCCCGCAACGAGCGCAACCCUUAUCCCCUGUUGCCAGCGGUUCGGCCGGGAACUCAGAGGAGACUGCCGGUUAUAAACCGGAGGAAGGUGGGGACGACGUCAAGUCAUCAUGGCCCUUACGACCAGGGCUACACACGUGCUACAAUGGUUUAUACAAAGAGAAGCAAAUCUGUAAAGACAAGCAAACCUCAUAAAGUAAAUCGUGGUCCGGACUGGAGUCUGCAACUCGACUCCACGAAGUCGGAAUCGCUAGUAAUCGUGGAUCAGGAUGCCACGGUGAAUACGUUCCCGGGCCUUGUACACACCGCCCGUCACACCAUGGGAGUGGGUUGCAAAAGAAGCAGGUAUCCUAACCCCUUAAAAGGAAGGCGCCUACCACUUUGUGAUUCAUGACUGGGGUGAAGUCGUAACAAGGUAACCGUAGGGGAACCUGC
rnacentral:rRNA from 1 species